rnacentral:rRNA from 1 species
UACGGAGGGUGCUAGCGUUGUUCGGAAUUACUGGGCGUAAAGCGUGCGCAGGCGGUUGGUUAAGUCUGAUGUGAAAGCCCCGGGCUCAACCUGGGAAUGGCAUUGGAAACUGUCCAGCUGGAGUGUGGCAGAGGGGGGUGGAAUUCCGCGUGUAGCAGUGAAAUGCGUAGAGAUGCGGAGGAACACCGAUGGCGAAGGCAGCCCCCUGGGCCAACACUGACGCUCAGGCACGAAAGCGUGGGGAGCAAACAGG